rnacentral:rRNA from 1 species
UACAGAGGGUGCGAGCGUUGUCCGGAAUCACUGGGCGUAAAGGGCUCGUAGGCGGCCAACUAAGUCAGACGUGAAAUCCCUCAGCUUAACUGGGGAACUGCGUCUGAUACUGGAUGGCUUGGAUUCGGGAGAGGAAUGCGGAAUUCCAGGUGUAGCGGUGAAAUGCGCAGAUAUCAGGAGGAACACCCGUGGCGAAAGCGGCUCUCUGGGACGGUACUGACGCUGAGACGCGAAAGCGUGGGGAGCAAACAGG